AAAUAAAGUUUAAGUUCGCUGCAGAAAGUAGGUGCCGAAAGGCUUAAUAUCCUACCGAGGCGAAGGCAAAGUAUUUAUCAGGGUGAAUACAAGGCCUUUCUGUACCUCUGCAGAAAGGCCUUUUUGGUUUAUCAG
rfam:Fervidicola ferrireducens strain Y170 AN618_contig000045, whole genome shotgun sequence.